rnacentral:misc_RNA from 1 species
GUGAAUCAUCGAAUUUUUGAACGCAAAUUGCACUUUCUGGUAUUCCAAAAAGUAUGCCUGUUUGAGGGUCAGUUAAAUUAAAAUCGGUUUUGUGGCUAUGGGUGGUUGUUUGUGAUGCAUCUGCAGUGAGUCGUUCUUUACAUGUGGUUUAAGUGACUUAAAAUUAUGUUCGAUUUUUGAACGUAUUUAGAUUAGUACUUACGUUCGUAAUAUCUCAUCUUAGGUGCGGUCAUUCAC